UACGUAGGUGGCGAGUGUUGUCCGGAAUUACUGGGUGUAAAGCGCGUGUAGGCGGGAGGCCAAGUCUGUGGUGAAAUCGCUCGGUUUAACUGGGCGGGGUCCAUGGAAACUGGUCACCUGGAGGUCGGUAGAGGCAAGUGGAAUUCCCGGUGUAGUGGUGAAAUGCGUAGAGAUCGGGAGGAACACCAGUGGCGAAGGCGGCUUGCUGGGCCGGACCUGACGCUGAGACGCGAAGGCGUGGGGAGCGAACGGG
rnacentral:rRNA from 1 species